rnacentral:rRNA from 1 species
GAUAAUUGUGCUAAUUGUGCAACUAAUACGUGCUGGAUCUCGAAUUUAUUCGAGGCGCUUAUUAGAAUCAGAACCAUUCCGCGUAAGCGGUAACUCUUAGGAUGUGAUCAAUAAGGAAGUAUACCGUGGUUUUACCACAGGUAUUUUGGGUGAAGCGCAGCCCUAUCAGUUGUGGACGGUAAGGUAUUGGCUUACCGCGGCAGUUACGGGUGACGGGGAAUUUGGGUUCGAUUCCGGAGAGGGAGCCUGAAAAACGGCUACCACGUCUAAGGAUGGCAGCAGGCGCGCAAAUUACCCAAUCUUAACGGAUGGAGGUAGUGACGAGCAAUAACAGCGUGUGGCUAUGCUGCACGACUGGAAUGGAUCGGGCUUAAUAACCCCGAUGAGUAUCAAUUGGAGGGCAAGUCUGGUGCCAGCAGCCGCGGUAAUUCCAGCUCCAAUAGCAUAUAUUAAAGUUGUUGCAGUUAAAACGCUCGUAGUCGAGUACGGCUCUGUCGGUUGAUCGUGCAGCUUGCUGUUAUUGAUGCUGACUGAGCUUUGCGUCGCACCAGCGUCUUUUGAUGUUGGUGCAAUGCCACUUUGAAUAUAUCAAAGUGUUCAAGGCAAUUUGUUUGAUUGCUCAAGCAUGGAAUACAGAAUUGGCGUUUGCUGGUUCUAUGGUUCUACAAGCAUGUGCAAUGAUUGAGAUGAACGGUUGGGGGGAUACGCAUUUGGCUGUUAGAGGUGAAAUUCUUGGAUCAGUCAAAGGCGAACUGAUGCGAAAGCGUUUCUCAAGAACGUUUUUAUUGAUCAAGAACGAAGGNUAAGGAUCGAAGACGAUCAGAUACCGUCGUAGUCUUAACGGUAAACUAUGCC